rnacentral:rRNA from 1 species
AACGAACGCUGGCGGCAUGCCUAACACAUGCAAGUCGAACGAAGCCUUCGGGCUUAGUGGCGCACGGGUGCGUAACGCGUGGGAAUCUGCCCUUGGGUUCGGAAUAACAGUUAGAAAUGACUGCUAAUACCGAAUGAUGUCUUCGGACCAAAGAUUUAUCGCCCAAGGAUGAGCCCGCGUCGGAUUAGCUAGUUGGUGAGGUAAAGGCUCACCAAGGCGACGAUCCGUAGCUGGUCUGAGAGGAUGAUCAGCCACACUGGGACUGAGACACGGCCCAGACUCCUACGGGAGGCAGCAGUGGGGAAUAUUGGACAAUGGGCGAAAGCCUGAUCCAGCAAUGCCGCGUGAGUGAUGAAGGCCUUAGGGUUGUAAAGCUCUUUUACCCGGGAUGAUAAUGACAGUACCGGGAGAAUAAGCCCCGGCUAAACUCCGUGCCAGCAGCCGC